rnacentral:rRNA from 1 species
UGCGUAGGCGGAAAAUUAAGUCAGUGGUGAAAUCCUGCGGCUCAACCGUAGAACUGCCAUUGAUACUGAUAUUCUUGAAUGUAGUUGAGGUAGGCGGAAUGUGUAAUGUAGCGGUGAAAUGCUUAGAUAUUACACAGAACACCGAUUGCGAAGGCAGCUUACUAAACUAUGAUUGACGCUGAGGCACGAAAGCGUGGGGAGCGAACAGGAUUAGAUACCCUGGUAGUC